AGGUCUCGCGGACCAGCUUGUCCUUGAAAUCCGACAGGCGGAACGGGUCGAGAUAGCCGCCGGGGUUGGCGCUCAUCCAGGCGUAGAUGCGCGCCGAGCCCAGCCAGUGCAGCAAGAGAUACGCCGCCUCCUGGUUCUUGGACUGGGCCGAGACCAUGCCGGUCAACGAGAACCACAGGACCGACCGGCGGAUCAGCCCGCCGCCGACCUCGCGGCCCGGGGGCA
rnacentral:ncRNA from 1 species